GUCUUACUGCUACAGCAGGGCUGGGGAUUGCAGUAUCCGCUGUUGCUGCUGCUCCCAGUCCUGCCCCUGCUGCUACCUAGUCCAGCCUCACUGCAUCCCAGAAGAGCCACGUCGGCCUUCAUUUGCCUAGUGGAUUUUCAAAAGCUCUUCGGUUUUUGGUGCUGUUAAGAGACCUUGCAUUUCAAUCACACGGGAGAAAACUGAAGCUCGUAACAGGAGAAUCUGGCAGCUGGACACAGCUUGGACUGCAUUGUCUGGCUUCAUGACCCCUGCUGUGUAGCCGGCUCAUCUCUUCACUCUCACAUGUACACUCUCCUCGCUUUUCUUUCUUUUUUUUCCCCCUUUUCUUUCUUCUAAUUUUUAAAAAGCAGCCUCUGGAGCCAGCCAUGUUUGGCACUGAAUCUUCAUUGAGCAUGUUUUUGAACACAUUAACACCGAAGUUCUACGUGGCCCUAACAGGCACUUCCUCACUAAUAUCAGGGCUUAUUUUGAAUGCAAAGUAUGGCGAAAUCCACUAAAUUUAUUUAGGGGUGCUGAAUAUAAUCGGUAUACUUGGGUGAC
rnacentral:sRNA from 1 species